rnacentral:lncRNA from 1 species
UCGAGGGAAAAUCUAUCUGAAAAAUUGUACGACAAAAGAUGUGCCCAUCCUAUUAAUAUUCAGUAGGAAAUGAACACUUAAGAUAAAAUGUUUUUCAUGAGAAAGGAUGGUAAUACAAAC